GAAGAUGAUUGGGUCCCAAUGUAAAUGCAAAACAGUAGCCUAGGAAAUAAGAGGACAGCCAAGUGCCAAUCAGGUGACAGAUUCUAAAGAGGAUCCUACAGCUGCUCUUUCCUCUUUCCUGCAUUUCUAUGGGGGCUGGGGGUGAAACUGCCUGUGUCAAGCAGCACUCUGAGGCAUAGCAGUAGCAGCAGAGCACUGUCUGGGCUGGGGAACAGAAAACAGUAGGUGCAGACCAAUGGCCUGGCUCUGGACACUCCUCCCUGCCCCACAGCCUGAGGACAAGGGGAUGUCAGCCGAAGACAGCUCUUGGAGAGAAAAGCCCAAGGAGGCAGAGAGAAAGACACAUGGUAUGCCAAGGACCUGGAUUCCUUUGACUCCCAGAACCUCGGAAGACUGCCGGUCUCAAAGACACUCCUUCCAGGGGAAAGGAAAGCUAGUACUGCUGAGAUUAUCUUGAGGCAUUCAGGGGAACUGAUGGAGAAAUAGCUGCUUCCAAGUGAUCAGAUACACGACUCAGUCUUCCAGGUUGGCUUCACUUUACAUAACAGAGAUGAUUCUGUACAGGUUAAUAGUUUUAAAAAUUAAAUUAUAGUUUAAAUGCAUGGUGAAAAAAAUGAAAAAAAAGAAAAAUAAAUAAAUGCACUGUGAAAAUAAUAAGAUAAGAGCUAA